GUGAGCCGUGUGAUAGAAAACCUUCCCGCACGGUUCAGAGAGCACUAAAUUAGAAUGAGAGGUUUAGCACCACAUCGUUGAAUGCAAGGGGAGUUCGCUCGAUUCAUAGAUUGGUCCGACUCAUAAUUCACUUCUGACCCCAU
rfam:Capsicum annuum cultivar Zunla-1 chromosome 10, whole genome shotgun sequence